GGAGAGNGNNNACGUUGUUCGGAUUCACUGGGCGUAAAGGGCACGUAGGCGGCUCGGCAAAUCGGUCGUGGAAUCCCGACGCUUACCGUCGGAACGGCGGCCGAAAAUACCGGGCUCGAGGGCGUGAGGGGUCACUGGAACUCCUGGUGAAGCGGUGAAAUGCGUAGAUAUCAGGAGGAACGCCGGAGGCGAAAGCGAGUGACUGGCGCGUUCCUGACGCUGAGGUGCGAAAGCUAGGGGAGCAAACAGGAUUAGAUACCCUGGUAGUCCUAGCCGUAAACGAUGGACACUGAGUGGAGGAGGGCUUGCCUUUCUCUGCUGCAGCUAACGCGUUAAGUGUCCCGCCUGGGGAGUACGGCCGCAAGGUUA
rnacentral:rRNA from 1 species